GAUGAACGCUAGCGGCGGGCCUAAUACAUGCAAGUCGAACGGGAAAGGUGGCAACACCUUGAGAGUGGCGUACGGGUGCGUAACGCGUAUACAACCUGCCUGUUACACGGGGAUAGCCUUGCGAAAGCGAGAUUAAUACCCGAUGGUACUAUUGAGCGGCAUCGCUUGGUAGUUAAAGCUGAGGCGGUAACAGAGGGGUAUGCGUCCCAUUAGCUAGUUGGUAGUGUAACGGACUACCAAGGCGACGAUGGGUAGGGGUUCUGAGAGGAUGAUCCCCCACAAUGGUAAUGGGAUAAGGACCAGAAUCCUACGGGAGGCAGCAGUAGGGAAUAUGGGGCAAUGGACGGAAGUCUGACCCAGCCACGCCGCGUGCAGGAAGAAGGUCCUCUGGAUUGUAAACUGCUUUUCUUGGGGAAGAAAACCCUUCUGCGGAAGGAAUUGACGGUACUCAAGGAAUAAGCAUCGGCUAACUCCGUG
rnacentral:rRNA from 1 species